rnacentral:rRNA from 1 species
AGUGAACGCUGGUGGCGUGCUUAACACAUGCAAGUCGAACGAGAACGGAUUAUAGCUUGCUAUAAUUGUCAGCUAAGUGGCGCACGGGUGAGUAAUGUAUAGGUAAUAUGCCUCUUACUAAGGGAUAACAAAUGGAAACGUUUGCUAAUACCUUAUACUCCUUAUUAACAGAAGUUAAUAAGGGAAAGAUUUAUUGGUAAGAGAUUAGCCUGUAUUGUAUCAGUUAGUUGGUGGGGUAAUGGCUUACCAAGACUAUGACACAUAACUGGUUUGAGAGGAUGAUCAGUCACACUGGAACUGAGACACGGUCCAGACUCCUACGGGAGGCAGCAGUGGGGAAUAUUGCACAAUGGACGAAAGUCUGAUGCAGCAACGCCGCGUGGAGGAUGACACAUUUCGGUGCGUAAACUCCUUUUAUAUGAGAAGAUAAUGACGGUAUUAUAUGAAUAAGCACCGGCUAACUCCGUGCCAGCCGCCGCGAUAA